AAGUAAAUUGCUGUUUUAACCUUUACCAAGUGUCAUCUGGUGUUUGGUUCAGGGUGGAAAAGGCCCUCGGUGAUCCCAGUCAAGCCUUGGCAACUGGGUCUAAAGUGCUCCAGGGUCCUUGAUCGCUAUGAGGAAGCAGACAGAAGUAGUCAGUCGGAUUACAGGAGAUCCAUCACCGUUUGUUGUGGAAAUGAGAUAUUGACAUAUUUUCUAG